CUGGCUCAGGACGAACGCUGGCGGCGUGCCUUAGACAUGCAAGUCGAGCGAGAACUUCGGUUCUAGCGGCAAACGGCGCAGUAAUACGUAAGCAACGUGCCCCCAAGACUGGGACAGUCCGGGGAAACCCGGUUUAAUACCAGAUGUGGCCGUUCUUCCGCCUGGAAGAACGAUUAAAGGACUUCGGUCGCUUAGGGAGCGGCUUACGACCUAUCAGGUAGUUGGUGAGGUAACGGCUCACCAAGCCUACGACGGGUAGCGGGUCUGAGAGGAUGAUCCGCGCGAGUGGGACUGAGACACGGCCCACACACCUACGGGUGGCAGCAGUUUGGAAUAUUGCACAAUGGGGGAAACCCUGAUGCAGCGACGCCGCGUGGGGGAUGACGGAUUUCGGUCUGUAAACCCCUUUUGCCAGGAAAGACUUAGGACGGUACCUGGCGAAUAAGCCCCGGCUAACUACGUGCCAGCAGCCGCGGUAAUACGUAGGGGGCGAGCGUUGUCCGGAUUUACUGGGCGUAAAGGGCGCGCAGGCGGCCUGUUAAGUGUGAAGUGAAAUCUCCUGGCUCAACCAGGAAAUUGCUUUGCAUACUGGCAGGCUAGAGAAAGGCAGAGGUAGAUGGAAUUCCCGGUGUAGCGGUGACAUGCGUUGAUAUCGGGAGGAACACCAAUGGCGAAGGCAGUCUACUGGGCCUCUUCUGACGCUCAGGCGCGAAAGCGUGGGUAGCAAACAGGAUUAGAUACCCUGGUAGUCCACGCCCUAAACGAUGGAUACUAG
rnacentral:rRNA from 1 species